CACCUCGAUGUCGGCCCAUCGCAUCCUGGGGCUGAAGGCGGUCCCAAGGGUUUGGCUGUUCGCCAAUUAAAGCGGUACGCGAGCUGGGUUCAGACCGGCGUGAGCCAGGUCGGUCCCUAUCUGUCGUGGGCGCAGGAUUAUUGAAGAGGACUCAACCCUAGUACGAGAGGAUUAGGUUGGACGGACCCCUGGUAUAUCUAUUGCACCGCUCGGUGCACAGUAGAGUAGCUAUGUCCGGACAGGAUAAACGCUGAAAGCAUCUAAGCGUGAAACCUCCCUCAAGAUGAGUAAUCCCCAUUAGCCUCCAUGUAGACUACGUGGUUGAUAGGCCGGAAGUGUAAGCACAGUAAUGUGUUGAGCUGACCGGUACUAACAGGCAACUGGCUUGACCAC
rnacentral:rRNA from 1 species